AAUCAACGCUGGCGGCGUGCCUAACACAUGCAAGUCGAACGCGAGAGGGGCUUCGGCCCUGAUUGAGUGGCAAACGGGUGAGUAACGCGUGGGUGACCUACCUUCGAGUGGGGAUAACGUUCCGAAAGGGACGCUAAUACCGCAUAACAUCCUGUCUUUGGACAGAUGGAGAUCAAAGCCGGGAUCGUAAGACCUGGCGCUUGAGGAGGGGCCCGCGUCCGAUUAGCUAGUUGGUGGGGAAUGGCUCACCAAGGCAACGAUCGGUAGCCGGCCUGAGAGGGCGGACGGCCACACUGGGACUGAGACACGGCCCAGACUCCUACGGGAGGCAGCAGUGGGAAUUGUUCGCAAUGGGCGCAAGCCUGACGACGCAACGCCGCGUGAAGGAU
rnacentral:rRNA from 1 species